GGGUGAGAAAAAAAAAAAAGCUGAGAAAAUGGACGUCUGUCGUUCGUCAUCAACUGUUGAAGAUGAUUCUUUCUUUGGUUUCGUGCAUGUCUGUUAGAUCAAAAAGAGAUGUUUAAACACCCUAGAUUUCAAACAUUGGAGGACUUGGAAACACUUUGGGCUGGAAAGAAAGAAACGAAAGAAACGAGAAAAAUGGUGGCAAAAGUCACAAGUCAUUGCUAAUUUCAGCGUCUGACUGCAUGCAUCGGAAGAAAGAACAGCAGCUUUAACCACCCCAACUAAAAGAAAAAACAAAAAAAAAGGGCAAUGCGAAGGUGAGAAAGGUAUAUACUGAUAAAAAUAAAAAGAAUAAAUUUUAACUCGAAAAAAAAAAAAUGGCUCCGGGCUACGGCGCGAACCACCGACAGGUAAACCUCUCUCCCUUGGCGUCCUUUCUCCCCUUCCAUCUUUUGUGUGUGUGUGUGUGUGUGUGUGUGUGUUAAUUCCCCCCUCCACUUCUUUAGGCCUCUUCCAUCUUCGUUUAACCGUGAGGUUGAGUGUGUAUGCGGCGCCAUUUUGAAAAUAAGAAAGAAAAAAGAGAUUCAUGUUCCUAUGGAACGAGCUCGCGCGCGCCCGGCUUUGACCUGACUGAUUUUUUUUCCGUUUGAAAUUUAUUUGAUCUUUCUUUGAGAAAAAAUAGGUGGGGGAUGGUUCGUUUUAAGAAGAGAGAUCAAAUGAGAUUUCGAUGAUUAUAACGCAGACAUCGAUCGUCGCCAACCCUUUUAGCAACAGACACAAACAUUGCAGUCAACACGACACGAGAAAAGUGCAACGCAGAUAAGAUUGCUAUCCAAAAUGGAAUAGGCCUCACAUCUUAAAUAGUUUUGCAUCUUUCAAAAAGGAAAAUGUCCAUCUUUUGAUUUGAUGGAGUGAGCGAGGGGGAGCGUGGCGAUGGGUACGAAAAGUGGGCGGGACCUACACAUUUUUCUUCUUCCUUUCUUGUCCCUUUAGAACAUAGCCGACUGGACCUUGUGUUCCACUUGUUCCAGCAAAACAAAAAGUGGGGUUUUCUUUGUUAGCAAAAGAAGAGGGUGGUGUGUGUGUGCCGUUAUGGCGCAGCAUCCCUCCACCAAACUACCAGUUAACCACUUGAAAAUAAAAAUUAAGUAAAGAAGAACCCCUCAAUCUGAAUGGAUGGAAUGGAAAUAUUCUUCUUCUUCUUCAGAGGUCCAGCCCUUCCAGGGAGAUCGACUUACCUUGACCUUUUGUGUUGGAAGUCGCCAGAGUCAAACAAAAGAAGCAAAAAAGAAAAAAAGGCCCGCCAUUUUCUCGGCUUACCUGUCAAAAAAAGAAAGAGAAAAAAAAACAAAAAACGAUAAGUCAACAGUUUGAAACACUGGAACAAGCAAGAAAAUAAAUCACUUGUGAUUAAAAGAAUAUUGAAAUUUGUCCACAAACAACAACAUCAAACACUUGGACAAAAAACUGCUGUUCAAUCAGGUUCCCCCGCAAUUGAUUACGUUUUGAAGGUGAAAAGUGUGUUCCACAUGCACAUCGUCGUGAUUACACCGCACUUCUUUUAAAACGCGUGCGAAUGACGCCAUAUCCCACCCCCACGUUCGAUGUCGCCAACGGGUUUACGCAUCCAUCAAAGCAGCAGAAGAAUUCGAUCCACCUGGCAGCCAUGGCGCAGAACGGAAAGCCCCAAAUGAUAAACGAAAAUGCGCCACGUUCAUUUCUUGUGAUAUCGUAAAUAUACAAAAGAACCAACUGGGUUGCUGCUGUUUUCCAUCCGGUAAUUGCUGGGGCCACACUCUUUGAAUGUUUGACCUUUUUUCCUCAUUUUCGCUUUGCUUUAUUUAUUUCCCCUCCCGAAUUUAUUUCUUUUCUUCUCAUAAAAAAAAAAAAAGAAAUUUCAUUCGAUUUUUUUUUUAUAUUUUCAUUUCAUUUUGUGUGUGUGUGUCUUUUGUUUAUUUCGACGUGAAAGAGAGAGAGAGAGAGAGAGUAUAACAUUCUAGCGGGAUUGCGGUUAACAAAGGUUUGAACGCACGGGGCUCAUAGACGACGGGGAUAUGACAGCCGAGCCAGCUAAACGUAACGCAAUACCGAGAGUCAUCUUCUCUCGUGUCCCGUAAUCGAAUCCCUUGAUGUAAUUCGGCUCUCGUCGACCAUUUCUUUUUUUUUUUUAUUUUCACUAUCAAAAUAUGCGCGUUUGUGUACAGGUAGACGUGCUGCGUGCAACGCAAUCUCCGCCUUUUUUUUUUGUUUAUUCUUUGCGCGCUUCUCUUUUGUUUUGUUUUUUUUGUUUCGUUAUUGCUCUCGGUUGGGUUCGUGUCGUUCUGGGAAACUGACGCAGCUUAAAUGAUGUCAUAGUCGAGAAAUAAGACGCGCAAAAAAAAAAGGACUAAACAAAAGAGGGGGGGAAAUGAAUAAAUAAAUAAAGGUCUAGUAUACCAUUUGCUGGCGCCGUUGCAUCUCGAGUGGCAGUCGACGCGUCAAAUUCAAAAAAAGAAAAUGGAGAGGGGAGAAGAAAAAAAUUAAAUAAAUAAAACUUUUGGAAAAAGCCGAGUCACCAGACCAAAAUGAAAAAAAAACUAACCGACCAACUUUUGAGUCACAUGUCCUUUUAUUUGAUUUUAUUUCUAUAAUAUUUGGCCGCAACGCUCUGAUGCUGGAAUCGAAUCCAUCAAUAUUGAUUGGUUACCCGGCCCUACCUGACUGGACAGGAAUCGUGAAUUGAAAGAAAAAAAAGAAAAUGCAGAUCAACUUGUCUUUUCUUUUGAUUUAUUAAUAAGGCAGACCUAACUAGAAUUUUUCAUCGCAUUUGAAUGCGGUGAAGAGAGAGAGUGAGAGAGAAUAGAAGAGGGACAUUAAAUCCAGUUGUCUGGUCGUUCGAUCUUUAUACUACGCCAUGACACAAACAAUUCGAAUUUUAUACAUUUAUAUAUAUACAUAUCAAACAGAGAAGGCGACACACGGAACGUUUUCAAAGCCAAGCAGCCCCAAACUGGACGAGAAAAAUGUAAAUCAGCGCAAUUGGGCAUGGCCAUUAAUCCCGAGGAGUUGAGUGCACCAUGUACGGAGCGGCCAAAAAAAAAAUUUCACCUUGCAUUUGCAUGGACUCACACGACGACGUUGAUGACCCAAUCUCGUUGAGAAAAGAAAAGAAAAAUUUUUUUUUUUUUUAAUCUUGUGCUGCGGUGUUUGCCUUUUUGUUUCAUUUGCAUUUUCGUUCCAGCAGCAAGAACACAAAAAAAACAAGACGUGCUCGGAAUGCAUUUGUGCUUCUUCUUUCAAAUGAAGUUGCGUCCCUGUUUCGGUGGGGGCCUUGAUGAAACAAAAAAAAAAACGAGCGGUGCCUGGGCGCUGGUUGGGCUCGCGCCCGCCGACAGCCCAGUGACAUCUCCCCAACUCUUGAAAAAUGUCUUUCAAUGCAAGAGUGGAGGCUUCCAGCAACCGUUUCAGGAUGGAUCGCUUCAUCAACAGACUUUCUUUUUCGAUUCUUUUCUUUCGAUCAUUCUCCGAGACCUGCUCCUUGUUGACCGUUUGUUUCUUCAAAUGCGCGCAACAGGUUUGUUUUGUUUUUUUGUGUGUUUUUUUUUUAUUCCACCCAUUUUUAGUUGGACGUUAUAUUCCAUCAUCCGUCUUGAUUCUUAUAAUUUUUUCACCUCCUCCCCUUUUUCUCCGAGAAAUGGUCAUUUCUCAAAUGUGAUGUCCCUUCCACGAUCUCGUUGACAAGUUCAUCAAAAGAUAAAAAAAAAAAAAGGGAAUGUGGCUUUCCCUCCUCUCUUUUUUGUUGUUGUUUGAUUCAAAUUCUUGUUAUUGGUCCUUGUCUAACCUUUUUUUGUUUUGUUUCUUUUUCAAUAUGCCAAUGAGAAUUGAAAGAAACAAAUAAUCCAAAAACCAAAAUACAAAUAAAAAUGAAUAAA